rnacentral:lncRNA from 1 species
GCACGUAUUUGUUGAGCGGCGACGUGUGCCCUUCCAUGAACAGGCAAGUGUGAAAACCAAGGCCAUGGUGCCGGAGAGGAGCCACCUUCCCAAGCUUGUAAGAACAUUUCUGCACUGCUCAACACUCGUAACGCACACCUGGACCGAGUGCUUCUGCGGUGGUGCUUCCCAGCUCAGCUGAACACACGGGAGUCUACGUGAUGGGGUCCUCGGGAUGCCUCUGGUCUGCCAAGAGCAGCAUCGACCGGGGAGCUGUAAUCAUCUCAGAGGGCCUGGAGUGGGAAGCCUUGCUCUGUGUGCGCUGUGGGCUUGGGUUUGCAGAAGGUUUUUCUUGGCUAAGGGGAAACUGAGGCACGGUUGAGGAACUUUGCCACACCAGAAGCCUCUGAGCACAGUCACCCUUCUUCCACGUCAGAGCUGCAUGCCCCAAAGCCUUGUCCGUGCCUUAAUUUCAUCUCUCCUAUUUGUCCAACAGCUCAGCUUGAUAGCCUUUAUUUUCUGCUUGUUUAAGUUAAUUUUAUAAUCGGUGGCCAGAAGAAGCACUUUUGCCUGAUGGCCAUUUGCAGCUGGGGACGAUCGCAGCAGCUGUAAAUCGAGUCUCGUUACCGAGUGGCGAGCAGAUGAAGCAGUGCUGAUGCUGAGCUGCUGGUGGCUGUUAGGAGGAGCACGCUCUGUGCCAAAUGGCAGAUUUGCAUGGAGGCAAAUCUGUCCUGCAUCUUUCCUAAAUGCUGAGUGGAUGUGACCCUUCAUGAGAGUAGAAAAAACUCAGCGAACUAUUUUUUUUCCUGAGAUGUUCAUCCAAGUAUAUGGCAAAGCAGUUACUAUUGAACAAACGUUCCAUUUCCUGUAAUUUGACUUUUCUGCCUGUCACAAACAAGCUGUAUCAGCCUGUCUCUGGCUGCGAAGCCUGUGCUGGUGUCUGUCUCUUGCUGUGCUGGGAGGAACGCAGCAGCUCCAGAGCAGGAUAUUUCCAACUUUCACCAGGAGACAGCAAAUAAGAAAACCUCAGCCCACGGCUGCAGCAGCCCCACAUCUUCUCCCCACAAGGGAACCAGCCUUUUGUACAGAGCACCCCUGAAUUUCCCUCGGGGGUCCAGUCUCUAUCUUUCCUCCUGAAUUUGGGAAAGGGAAAGACAUCCUCAAGGACGUUGUUUUUUAGGAUAUUCCAAGUCUGGCUGAAAUGGAGGAAAAAUGAUUUAAA